GAUCCUGGCUCAGGAUGAACGCUAGCGACAGGCUUAACACAUGCAAGCCGAGGGGCAGCACGGGAGUAGCAAUACAACUGGCGGCGACCGGCGCACGGGUGAGUAACGCGUAUGCAACCUACCUAUCAGAGGGGAAUAACCCGGCGAAAGUCGGACUAAUACCGCAUAAGACAGGGGCACCGCAUGGUGAUAUUUGUUAAAGAAAUUCGCUGAUAGAUGGGCAUGCGUUCCAUUAGGUAGUUGGUGAGGUAACGGCUCACCAAGCCGACGAUGGAUAGGGGAACUGAGAGGUUGGUCCCCCACACUGGUACUGAGACACGGACCAGACUCCUACGGGAGGCAGCAGUGAGGAAUAUUGGUCAAUGGGCGAGAGCCUGAACCAGCCAAGUCGCGUGAAGGAAAGAAGGAUCUAUGGUUCGUAAACUUCUUUUGCAGAGGAAUAAAGUGCGGGACGUGUCCUGUUUUGUAUGUACCCUGAGAAUAAGGAUCGGCUAACUCCGUGCCAGCAGCUGC
rnacentral:rRNA from 1 species